rfam:Myotis lucifugus cont2.32838, whole genome shotgun sequence.
GGUGGUUCUCGGGUGACACCCCCCAGAAUCAGGCUCCUACUUCUCUGGUUUCAAGUACAUCACCCGAGAACUGCA